GACGAACGCUGGCGGCGUGCUUAACACAUGCAAGUCGAACGAAGUGGCGAACGGGUGAGUAACGCGUAAUCAACCUGCCCUUCAGAGGGGGACAACAGUGGGAAACGACUGCUAAUACCGAAUACUGAAGGAGGGGAGUGAUGCGGAUUAGCUAGUUGGAGGGGUAACGGACCACCAAGGCGAUGAUCAGUAGCCGGUCUGGGAGGAUGAACGGCCACAGUGGGACUGAGACACGGCCCAGACUCCUACGGGAGGCAGCAGUGGGGAAUCUUCCGCAAUGGACGAAAGUCUGACGGAGCAACGCCGCGUGAGUGAUGACGGCCUUCGGGUUGUAAAGCUCUGUUAAUCGGGACGCGGUACCGGAAUAGAAAGCCACGGCUAACUACGUGCCAGCAGCCGCGGUAAUUC
rnacentral:rRNA from 1 species